UAGCCUAGUGGUUAAGGCUAUGGAUUGCCAAUCCGGAGACGGCGUGUUCGAUUCCCGU
rnacentral:tRNA from 1 species